CCCAGUAUCUAACAGGAAGUAGAUUUCCGUUGCAUGAGAAGCUGCUUUCGCUCUCGGCACCAUCACAUCUGCUCCCAGGGGGCCGGGAAGGGGCAUGUUUGGAAGAAGAAUCCAGUGCAGAUUUAUAGUUGAACCAGACAAACUGGAACGGAUUUCUUGCUGCCAUUGUUUCCAUGUACAACAAACUACGGUACAUUUACACAUUUAUUCAGUGACAAUCAAGUUCUUCUGGAACCUCCUCAUAACAAUCCCCACCCAGAAGUUCCAGGUGCCACGUGGAACUGCUGAAUGAGGAGCCUGGGGAGGAGAAAAGCAGAGAAAUGUUCUGUACUGACCCGUCCCAGAGGCACAGAGGGAAUGGGCCACAAACACAGGAUUAAAGGCCCCCCUAACCCCACACCCAUACAUGGGCCCCCACCCACUUCUAGGUAACUCCACCCCUGUUUGGCCAAGGACUUGGACUGUCCCACCUAAACUAUAGGGAGUUAUACAGGGGGGAGUGGGGCCAGAAACUGAUCCAGAAGCAGAACCGACCCAAACACAGAGACUGAGGAGCUGCACCUGAAAGGGAAGA